rnacentral:rRNA from 1 species
AACGAACGCUGGCGGCAGGCCUAACACAUGCAAGUCGAGCGCGCCCUUCGGGGUGAGCGGCGGACGGGUGAGUAACGCGUGGGAACGUGCCCUUCUCUGCGGAAUAGCCUCGGGAAACUGAGAGUAAUACCGCAUACGCCCUUUGGGGGAAAGAUUUAUCGGAGAAGGAUCGGCCCGCGUUGGAUUAGGUAGUUGGUGGGGUAAUGGCCCACCAAGCCGACGAUCCAUAGCUGGUUUGAGAGGAUGAUCAGCCACACUGGGACUGAGACACGGCCCAGACUCCUACGGGAGGCAGCAGUGGGGAAUCUUAGAAAAUGGGGGCAACCCUGAUCUAGCCAUGCCGCGUGAGUGAUGAAGGCCUUAGGGUUGUAAAGCUCUUUCAGCUGGGAAGAUAAUGACGGUACCAGCAGAAGAAGCCCCGGCUAACUCCGUG